GGUGAACGCUGGCGGUAGGCCUAACACAUGCAAGUCGAACGGCAGCACAGUAAGAGCUUGCUCUUACGGGUGGCGAGUGGCGGACGGGUGAGGAAUACAUCGGAAUCUACUUUUUCGUGGGGGAUAACGUAGGGAAACUUACGCUAAUACCGCAUGCGACCUACGGGUGAAAGCAGGGGAUCUUCGGACCUUGCGCGAUUGAAUGAGCCGAUGUCGGAUUAGCUAGUUGGCGGGGUAAAGGCCCACCAAGGCGACGAUCCGUAGCUGGUCUGAGAGGAUGAUCAGCCAGACUGGAACUGAGACACGGUCCAGACUCCUACGGGAGGCAGCAGUGGGGAAUAUUGGACAAUGGGCGCAAGCCUGAUCCAGCCAUACCGCGUGGGUGAAGAAGGCCUUCGGGUUGUAAAGCCCUUUUGUUGGGAAAGAAAAGCAGCAGGUUAAUACCCCGCUGUUCUGACGGUACCCAAAGAAUAAGCACCGGCUAACUUCGUG
rnacentral:rRNA from 1 species